GGGCAUACAAGCCUUUACCUACAAUCCAAAUGGACUCACUCCAAUAAUAAACGUAUGGAUCCCAUACAUAAACCCAUCCCCAUUGCAGAACCAAUUCAAAAAUGUUUGCCAACCCUCUAAAAUUUAAGGCCAUUACACCUUCAGAUUUUCAAACAAAAAGGAAGUUGGGAUUGUGCUACAAAUGUGAUGAAAAAUAUACUAGGGA
rnacentral:lncRNA from 1 species